rnacentral:lncRNA from 1 species
UACCAAAUUAAGUAAAAAAUAAAUGAGCAGAGCUCAAGCUUAAAAAAUUUACUCACGGGCUAGAGCUCGAGCUUAGGCUCGGCUUGCUUACACACCUACUUUCAACAUAAAAAUGACGUAUUUUAUUUUUUGAUUUACCUUAUGUGGAGGCUGCUGACAGUAACAGUGAUAUGCGCCAUCACAUCUCUUACAAAACAUAAGCUUGUUCGGAUCACCAGUUCUUCGGCAUACCUAAGUUCACAAAACAAGUAAGCAUAUCAACAGGUUACAGACCAAUGAAAAUAGAUUGCAACGGCAAAUUAAAUAUAAUUGAUAAAAAGACGAAACAUUAAAUCUAGUGUAUAAUGGCAUCAUAGGUAGUUAGGUACCUCACAAGAACGACAUGAAGGGCAGGUCCAGGAACUCAAGUGAAACAGAUCUGAAAAGUAAAACGCUUCAGUUGAAAAAGUACAAGUAUCAAGCAAUAUGAAAAUACUUUAGUCAACAAAAAGUCAAACCUCGAUUUUGAGCCCAAGAUUUCACACAGCUUUUGUGAUAUUUCUUGUUACAGUUUUUGCAUGAUAUCAUCUUUCUGGCUCUCUCACUUUCUUCAUUUUCACCAGAGAAGCAAAGGCGACACAUCACUUUGGCAUUUGAGAGACUUUGUUCAUCUCCGUCAUCUUUCGUCAAAUCCUGCAUAACAAAAAUUACCAUAAAGAUUCACAAAGCUUUGACCUUUUUUGGUCAACACGAUGCAUAAAGAAGAUUCUUGUAGUGAAAACUAAAAGAAAAAGAAAAGUACAGUUUGAAACUCAUGAAAGAUUGUAAUGGAAACAAAUGGAUAAGAUUAUAAUUAUGUGCUGCAUGACAUGAAUACGUGAAAGAAUUAAUGACAAGUUGAUACUUUCAAAUGAAAAUUUUAAACCUUUUCUGCUCUGACGCUUACUCGUAAAGGUAUCUCGAAGAAAAUUUCCAUAAGUUAAGGGUUUUAUUACACUCGGUUACCUAAUUACUAUACGCAAAAGGUUAGAAUAUAUGCAAAAGGUGAACAAUAAUUAAAUGAAACGAAAGAGAAUAAAAAGUUCUAACAAGCAACUACCUGUAUUCGAGAUGUAAACAAAUUCUCCUAGAUAUGUGUGUGCUUUUUAUAGGUUUCCUAAUGACGUUCGUUCCAGUUAAUUCCCUCUUCAUAAAUUAAGGAAAAAUAUAUCUACCCAAUAACUAAUUUUAGCAAUUAACCCUUGAUAAACCUGCAAGUCGAUGCCGUAUGAGUGGGCUUUACAAGAAAGUUCACCUAACUGUACUGUAAUUACAAGCCAAAGAAAAUAACUGGUUAUUAAUUUGCUCCAUCUUUACAAUAAUGUUCAUAAAAGUGAAACAAUGUCUCUAGAGGUCAUAUUAGGGCUUGAACUAUUUCCUAUUGCAAGCAUUAAUCCCCAAUAUAUACAUCUUCAUAUAUAUCUAUGCAUUCAUACUUUCAUACAUGCCUCUAGCUCUACCAAUCAGGGGUGAUUGCUUACUAUGUAGUAGAACUUCAUGAAUCUUAUUAAGAAAUCUUGUGAGUAAUUUUGUUCCUUUUUCUCCAAGCAACAUUCGGUUUCAAGUUCAAAAAUGUGCAAACUAAUACAUUGUGUAACUGGAUAAUAAUUUGAAACUUCCCGUUUACUAAAAGUUUAUCUCAUUUGUUAUAAAUGUAAAUUUAUGACAUUUCAAGACCAUAUUACAACUUUUGCAAUACAAUUUCAAGACGAUAUUAUAGCUUUCGUAAAUAAAUUACACCUUAUUACUCAGCUCUAAUUACUAAGACGGCUGAAGCCAGGUAGUAAACCCUAAUCAUUACAACAACGUAACACCAUGAAUCUAACAGCUUUUUCAUCAUUGACAUGAUCGAAAGGCAUAUAAUUAGCACAUCACAUAAGGCUGUAGAACACAUGAGAUGCCGGAACUUAAUAGUUAAUACAGCUAGGUAAGGUAAUAAAAAUUAUUACUCACUGAAACUAUUCAUAAAAUAGUAAAAAUUGUGUGGCACAUGUAACCGUUAGAUAGCAUGACGACCAAGUGCAUUGAAUGCCAAAACACAAAAGAUCUAUUAUAUAGUGACAUAACUAAAAGGAAAAAGCUUUAACUGAAAUAUUAUAUUUCCAAAAACCACAAAACGACACGAGUUAAUAAAGAAAAAAUGUCUCCGUCUCAAGCAUACAAUGCGCCACAUACAAAUGAGCAAUCAAGUCACAAGUCAUGAGGUAUUAUCAACAUUAACCUAAAUAAACGUACUUUUAAACCAGGAUUGCCAUAUAUUAGAUGCAAACUCCGUGAAACCCUAAAACGUGCAACAAGGUAUAAAAGUUUGUGCCCCCCGAUACAUUACAUUACGAAAAGAAUUCUGCAGUACUGCAAAUACCAAGAAAAUAUUUGCACUACCAUAUGACAAUUAACA